GACGAACGCUGGCGGCGUGCUUAACACAUGCAAGUCGAACGGAAAGGCCCUGCUUGCAGGGUGCUCGAGUGGCGAACGGGUGAGUAACACGUGGGUGAUCUGCCCCUCACUUUGGGAUAAGCCUGGGAAACUGGGUCUAAUACUGGAUAGGACCAUGCUGUAGGUGGUGUGGUGGAAAGAUUAGUUUCGGUAAGGGAUGAGCUCGCGGCCUAUCCGCGUGUUGGUGGGGUAGUAGUCUACCAAGGCGUCGACGGGGGGCGGGCGUGAGAGGGUGGGCGGGGACAUUGGGAGUGUGAGACGGCCCAGAGACCUACGGGAGGCGGCAGUGGGGAAAAUGGCGCAAUAGGGGCAAGCCUCAGGCGGCGACGCGGCGUGGGGGGUGACGGCGUCCUGGUUGUGAACUCCUUGCAGCCAUGACAAAGCCCUUGUGGUGACGGUAGUGGGAGAAGAAGCACCGGCUAACUACGUG
rnacentral:rRNA from 1 species